GACGAACGCUGGCGGCGUGCUUAACACAUGCAAGUCGAACGGAAAGGCCCUGCUUGCAGGGUACUCGAGUGGCGAAUGGGUGAGUAACACGUGGGUGAUCUGCCCUGCACUUCGGGAUAAGCCUGGGAAACUGGGUCUAAUACCGGAUAGGAGCCAUUUUUAGUGUGAUGGUUGGAAAGUUUUUUCGGUGUAGGAUGAGCUCGCGGCCUAUCAGCUUGUUGGUGGGGUAAUGGCCUACCAAGGCGGCGACGGGUAGCCGGCCUGAGAGGGUGGACGGCCACAUUGGGACUGAGAUACGGCCCAGACUCCUACGGGAGGCAGCAGUGGGGAAUAUUGCACAAUGGGCGCAAGCCUGAUGCAGCGACGCCGCGUGGGGGAUGACGGCCUUCGGGUUGUAAACUCCUUUCGCUAGGGACGAAGCUUUUUGUGACGGUACCUAGAUAAGAAGCACCGGCUAACUACGUG
rnacentral:rRNA from 1 species